AGCGAACGCUGGCGGCAGGCCUAACGCAUGCAAGUCGAACGAAGUCUUCGGACUUAGUGGCGGACGGGUGAGUAACACGUGGGAACGUGCCUUUAGGUUCGGAAUAACUCAGGGAAACUUGUGCUAAUACCGAAUGUGCCCUUCGGGGGAAAGAUUUAUCGCCUUUAGAGCGGCCCGCGUCUGAUUAGCUAGUUGGUGAGGUAAAGGCUCACCAAGGCUACGAUCAGUAGCUGGUCUGAGAGGAUGACCAGCCACAUUGGGACUGAGACACGGCCCAAACGCCUACGGGAGGCAGCAGUGGGGAAUCUUGCGCAAUGGGCGAAAGCCUGACGCAGCCAUGCCGCGUGGAUGAUGAAGGUCUUAGGAUUGUAAAAUCCUUUCACCGGUGAAGAUAAUGACUGUAGCCGGAGAAGAAGCCCCGGCUAACUUCGUGCCAGCCGCCGCAGUAACAC
rnacentral:rRNA from 1 species